UUGAACGCUGGCGGCAGGCCUAACACAUGCCAGUCGAACGGUAACAGGAUGAAGCUUGCUUCUUUGCUGACGAGUGGCGGACGGGUGAGUAAUGUCUGGGAAACUGCCUGAUGGAGGGGGAUAACUACUGGAAACGGUAGCUAAUACCGCAUAACGUCGCAAGACCAAAGAGGGGGACCUUCGGGCCUCUUGCCAUCGGAUGUGCCCAGAUGGGAUUAGCUAGUAGGUGGGGUAACGGCUCACCUAGGCGACGAUCCCUAGCUGGUCUGAGAGGAUGACCAGCCACACUGGAACUGAGACACGGUCCAGACUCCUACGGGAGGCAGCAGUGGGGAAUAUUGCACAAUGGGCGCAAGCCUGAUGCAGCCAUGCCGCGUGUAUGAAGAAGGCCUUCGGGUUGUAAAGUACUUUCAGCGGGGAGGAAGGGAGUAAAGUUAAUACCUUUACUCAUUGACGUUACCCGCAGAAGAAGCACCGGCUAACUCCGUG
rnacentral:rRNA from 1 species